AUUGAACGCUGGCGGCAUGCCUUACACAUGCAAGUCGAACGGCAGCACGGGGCGAACCCUCGGUGGCGAGUGGCGAACGGGUGGAGUAACGCAUCGGAAUGUACCCACGUAGUGGGGAGUAACUAGUCGAAGAUUAGCUAAUACCGCAUACGCACUGAGGUGGAAAGCGGGGGAGUCGCAAGACCUCGCGCUAUUGGAGCAGCCGAUGUCCGAUUAGGUAGUUGGUGGGGUAAAGGCCUACCAAGCCUGCGAUCGGUAACUGGUCUGAGAGGACGACCAGUCACACUGGGACUGAGACACGGCCCAGACUCCUACGGGAGGCAGCAGUGGGGAAUUUUGGACAAUGGGCGCAAGCCUGAUCCAGCAAUGCCGCGUGUGUGAAGAAGGCCUCGGUUGUAAG
rnacentral:rRNA from 1 species